rnacentral:rRNA from 1 species
AUUGAACGCUGGCGGCAGGCUUAACACAUGCAAGUCGAGCGGAGAUGAGGUGCUUGCACCUUAUCUUAGCGGCGGACGGGUGAGUAAUGCUUAGGAAUCUGCCUAUUAGUGGGGGACAACAUUCCGAAAGGAAUGCUAAUACCGCAUACGUCCUACGGGAGAAAGCAGGGGAUCUUCGGACCUUGCGCUAAUAGAUGAGCCUAAGUCGGAUUAGCUAGUUGGGGGGGUAAAGGCCUACCAAGGCGACGAUCUGUAGCGGGUUUGAGAGGAUGAGCCGGUACACUGGGACGAGGACCAGGCCCAGACUCCUACGGGAGGAAGCAGUGGGGAAUAUUGGUGAAUGGGGGGAACCCUGAUCCAGCCAUGCCGCGUGUGUGAAGAAGGCCUUAUGGUUGUAAAGCACUUUAAGCGAGGAGGAGGCUACUGAGACUAAUACUCUUGGAUAGUGGACAUUACUCGCAGAAUAAGCACCGGCUAACUCUGUGCCAGCAGCCGCCGUAACAC